rnacentral:lncRNA from 1 species
AUUGCGUGUUCGUGAAAGGCAUUAUGUUUUACAUUUACUUUGUACGGCAGAGAGUUAUGUGUGGAAAAAUCUAUAGUCGUUAAGGGAAUGUUCCUCCUUGUCUCGAGGUCGAACUUUUCCGUUCCUACCUCCACGUCGCGCUGCAACGCCAACGGGGUGCCCUCCGGGUGUCCACGGCAGAAGAAGAUGACAAGCAGAAAUAAAGCGAUGGUUUCCAUUCGACCUAGGCAAACGUCUAAGUUUUAAUACCCAGAAGUGUCUCCUGUAUGGGUGUGUCUGUGCAGAGGCACCUUUUUAGAGGAAUGUGUCUCCCUCGAGGCGGGGACCGUCCAGUGUAUCCUCCCGGGGUCGGUUGGCCACGCGUUAACUCUCACCCUCGAAAGGCGCUCAAUGGUUCACCAGCACGUUUCACGCAGUUGGUUUUCGGGUUCCACUCUCUGCUUUUAUUCAUUCGGAGGCGGGUCACAUGCGUUUGCCCAGGGGGCCGUUCCAACUCCAUCGCCGCAGCGGUGGCUUCGUUAGUGUCGCGGGAACCUUCGACUUUCGGAGCUGCACAGGGAAUUCAGAUGCCUCGAAAUAUGAAGAAAGAACCCAGAACAGAGAAAGAGAGCCAAGGAAUCACUAGAAGGGAAAAGAAGGGAGAAUCUCUCAGUUCAACAAUGCUCUGUCUACAGCGCUGUAACCAAUCAAAUGCCAGCAGCGUACCUUACACGAAUGCAGUGGCGGUCUAGGCUGACGGUCUCUGCAAAGACCCGGGGUCUUGCUGAAACUCUUUGGCGUCGGAAACGAGAUCUCUUGGAAACACCAUAAAGUUACCCGGUACCCGUAUUGCGAGCCGCCUAGGACGGCUGGUCGGCGCAAGUUGGAUCUUCGUAGGCGUCCAGUCUUCUCGGUCGUAUCCAGCUACUACGUAAAGAAUGGAACAACGGUAGAUGCCGACGCACUCAGAGAGGUGGUUUCACGGGUCUCUUGUGGACUGAGAACGAGAACAAUCAAGGUUUCCCCCCUUGCAGGCACGAUGAAACUUCUGUUGAUCGGUCGCUAGGAACCGCCGCAGCGCCUUUUAACGGAGGAGUCGCUUCAGCCGAACCAAUCACCCUCCGUCGCUUCUAACAUAUUUUAGUGAAGGAGGCCACGUGCAGUGAAAAGUGCGUAUGUUCCAUGUACAGCAACCGUGCAGCGGUCUCUGGAAAAAUGGAAAUCUCAGUUGAGUAUUUGCUCGUGACCCCAGCAUCAGCAGUACCAGCGUUUGCCCGGCUAGGUCCGGCUGGGUGAUUUAACACAACCUCAAAUUUUGCCACUCGCACGCAUUGUACAAGCCUUCUCUGGGGAGAAGGUUCGCACUUAAUGUAGGUCGAUGCAGUGCCAUCCUUCCCUAAAACUGGUUCACUCGACAGAUGAGUUGUGAUCGGGAUGUGAGCAAAUUGCGUUUUUCCAAUGCCCUUGGUAUGCUGCGACGAUGAAUCACUACCUUCUUGGUAAACAAAUUCAUCCUCCAUUCCCAAAUCGGCCGAAGACAUAGCACAUUUGCAGUCUCCAUAUUUGGCAGCAAUUCAGUAAAUCAACCAAUGGAAU